AACGCAUAUUGCGCUCUUUGGUAUUCCGAAGAGCAUGCUUGUUUGAGUAUCAGUAAACACCUCAAAGCUUUUGAUUUUUUUUAAAGGUUUUGGACUUGAGCAAUCCCAACACCAGUCUUUUUCAGACCGGCGGCGGGUUGCUUGAAAUGCAGGUGCAGCUGGACAUUCUCCUGAGCUAAAAGCAUAUUUAUUUAGUCCCGUCAAACGGAUUAUUACUUUUGCUGCAGCUAAUAUAAAGGGAGUUUGACCGUAUUGGCUGACUGAUGCAGGAUUUCACAAGGGUCGGCAACGAUUCUUGUAAAACUCGAUCUCAAAUCAAGUAAGACUACCCGCUGAACUUAA
rnacentral:misc_RNA from 1 species